rnacentral:rRNA from 1 species
CACGUAGGGCGCAAGCGUUGUCCGGAAUUAUUGGGCGUAAAGAGCUCGUAGGCGGUCUGUCGCGUCGGCUGUGAAAACCCGAGGCUCAACCUCGGGCCUGCAGUCGAUACGGGCAAACUAGAGUACUGCAGGGGAGACUGGAAUUCCUGGUGUAGCGGUGAAAUGCGCAGAUAUCAGGAGGAACACCGGUGGCGAAGGCGGGUCUCUGGGCCGAUACUGACGCUGAGGAGCGAAAGCGUGGGGAGCGAACAGG